AACGAACGCUGGCGGCAUGCCUAACACAUGCAAGUCGAACGAGACCAUAGUGACUGGUGGCGCACGGGUGCGUAAAGCGUGGGAAGCUGGCGGUAGGCUCGGAAUUACACCUCGUAAGGGGUGCUAAUACAGGAAAAUGUCCUCGGACAAAAGAUUCGUCUACCUUGGAUGGGCACGCGUUGGUUUAGCUAGUUGGUAUGGUAAAAGCCUACGACGGCGACGCUACAUAGCUGGUCUGAGAGGAUGGUCACCCACACUGGGACUGGGACACGGCACAGACUACUGCGGGAUGCAGCAGUGGGGAAUAUUGGACAAUGGGGUGGAGCCUGAUCCAGCAAGGCCUGGUGAGUGAUGAAGGCCGGAGGGUUGUAAAGCUCUUUUACCCGGGAUUAUAAUGACAGUACCGGAAGAAUAAGCUCCGGCUAACUCCGUG
rnacentral:rRNA from 1 species